UACACGCUGUGACUAGCAUAUCAAUAAGCGGAGGAAAAGUUUAAAGAGGUAAACGAAGCCUACAGCGUGCUUUCGGACCCGGAUAAAAAGGCAAAAUAUGACCAAUACGGUCAUGCCGGAGUAGACCCGAGCUUCGGUGCGGGCGGAGCCGGCGGCUACGGCGGUUUCGGCGGCUUCGGCGGCUUCGAGGAUAUCUUCGAGUAUGUUCGGCGGUUUCGGCGGCUUCGGGCAGAGCGCAAGGCGCAGCGGCCCGCAGAAGGGCAGAGACCUUCAGAAGUCUGUGACCAUCACCUUUGAGGAGGCGGCCUUCGGCUGCAAGAAGCAGAUCAAGCUCAACAAAUACGUUGAAUGCAGUGAAUGCCACGGCAGCGGCGCGGCGCCGGGUUCAUCAAAGAAGACCUGCCCUAAGUGCGGAGGCACGGGCCAGGUACGUACGGUUUCACGUACGGCCUUCGGCAAUUUCCAGAGCGUGGCUCCGUGCGAUCAGUGCGGAGGCACAGGGUAUGUGAUAGAAAAGCCUUGCCCCGCGUGCGGAGGCACAGGCAGAGUCCGCAAGGAUGUGACUAUCACGGUGGAUAUACCUGCCGGUGUGGACAAUGAUUCCGUGGUUUCCGUAAAGGGCCAGGGCGAGCCGGGUACAAACGGCGGCCCUGCUGGCGAUAUGUAUAUCGUAAUCAGCGUAAAGCCUCAUGAGCUUUUCAAGCGCCAGGGUCAGGACCUCUGGCUCGAAAUACCGAUCUCCUUUGCUCAGGCCGCUCUGGGCGACGAGAUCACCGUACCUACGCUUAGGAUGUUGAUAUGCAUGACUGAUAU
rnacentral:rRNA from 1 species